CCUUAUGAAUAUAAUUUAAGGUCUAAUCUGCCCGAUGAAGAAUUGAAUGGCCGCGGUAUUUUGACCGUGCAAAGGUAGCAUAAUCAUUAGUUUUUUAAUUGAAAGCUGGAAUGAAGGAUUGAAUGAGAAAAUAACUGUCUCAAAUUAAUUUUUUUUAAAAAUUUAUUUUUAAGUUAAAAAGCUUAAAUAUUAUUAAAAGACGAGAAGACCCUAUAGAGUUUAAUAAUUAAAGUUAAUUUAAAUGGAUUGUUUAUAUAAACUUAUAAUAACUUAAUUAUUUUGUUGGGGUGAUAAAAAAAUUAAAUAAACUUUUUUUUUAUCUUAAUACUUAUAAGUAAAUUUUUGAUCCAAAAUUUUUGAUUAUAAGAUUAAAUUACCUUAGGGAUAACAGCGUAAUUUUUUUAAAGAGUUCUUAUCGAAAAAAAAGAUUGCGACCUCGAUGUUGGAUUAAAAUUAAGUUUUGGUGUAGAAGCUAAAAUUUUAGGUCUGUUCGACCUUUAAAACUUU
rnacentral:rRNA from 1 species